UGGGGAAUAUUGCACAAUGGGCGAAAGCCUGAUGCAGCAACGCCGCGUGAGUGAUGAAGGCCUUCGGGUGUAAAGCUCUGUCUUUUGGGACGAUAAUGACGGUACCAAAGGAGGAAGCCACGGCUAACUACGUGCCAGCAGCCGCGGUAAUACGUAGGUGGCAAGCGUUGUCCGGAUUUACUGGGCGUAAAGGAUGCGUAGGCGGAUUUUUAAGUGAGAUGUGAAAACCCUAAGCUUAACUUGGGGACUGCAUUUCAUACUGGAAAUCUAGAGUGCGGGAGAGGAGAAUGGAAAUUCCUAGUGUAGCGGUGAAAAUGCGUAGAGAUUAGGAAGAAACACCAGUGGCGAAGGCGAUUCUCUGGACCGUAACUGACGCUGAGGCAUGAAAAGCGUGGGUAGCAAAACAGGAUUAGAUACCCUGGUAGUCCACGCCGUAAACGAUGAGUACUAGGUGUAGGAGGUAUCGACCCCUUCUGUGCCGCAGUUAACACAAUAAGUACUCCGCCUGGGAAGUACGAAUCGCAAGAUUAAAAACUCAAAAGGAAUUGACGGGGGUCAAUAGCUGUUUUUCCU
rnacentral:rRNA from 1 species